UGGCGCAGCUGGGCACGGAAGCGAAGGGCGGCGGCGCUUCUCUCCCGGUCCCGCUCCGUCUCCGGGGACAACCGCACCGGAACGCGGGCAGUGUGGACGCCCACCUCGGGCUCGGUUUACCCGCCGGUGGAGAGGGCCGAGGUCUUGCGCCAGCGGACCUAGAAGCGGGCGUCUCUUCAGCACGCGCAGUCCAGCGUCUACUCUGUGCCAGGGGCCCGUGUGGAGAGUGCCUGGUCGGGGCCGGGGAGCCAGCGCUUCCUGGGCACUUUAAACAGUGCUCCCUGGCUGGGGUCGGUUUACCCCGGGCCGGCUUCUGGGCCCUGCGGCGCGAGGACCGAGCGUACCCCUACGGUGCGCGGCGCGCCGGGGGACGAGAGACGUCGAGCCUGACUCACCCCUGGGGACUCCUGUUCUCCUGAGGGAGAGGACAGGAAACUGCUGAGAGUCACUAAGAUUUGGAUCCUCAGUCUGUGUGUGGGAAGUGCACUCAGAUACCAUGCAGAGGCAGGAGUCCAGAGAGGAUGUGGCUGCAAUAGUCCAGACAGCCCAGCUGAUUGAAGCUCCAGCCAACAUCUUGACUGAAAACUUCUGAGAGGCUCUACGGCAGAAACUGUCAAUCAAGCUACUAAUGAUUUCCUGCCUCACAAAAAUCAGUGAGAAAAUGAAUUAUUAUUGUUUUAAGCUGCUAAUUUGUGGAGUUAUUACAUAACAAUAGAUCGAUUGGGUCAAGCAUCAUAAUGGAUGCUAAAAUUAGUGAAAUAGUGAAAAAUUUGUGAAAGUUGCAGGAGUAAUAGGAUAUUUAAAUGGUUUAAAAAUAUUUCCCCUCAGGAUAGUUAUUCCAAGACAUGGAAACAACCCAAAUGUG